UACGAAGGAGGCUAGCGUUGUUCGGAAUUACUGGGCGUAAAGCGCACGUAGGCGGAUAUUUAAGUCAGGGGUGAAAUCCCGGGGCUCAACCCCGGAACUGCCUUUGAUACUGGGUAUCUUGAGUUCGGAAGAGGUGAGUGGAAUUGCGAGUGUAGAGGUGAAAUUCGUAGAUAUUCGCAAGAACACCAGUGGCGAAGGCGGCUCACUGGCCCGGUACUGACGCUGAGGUGCGAAAGCGUGGGGAGCAAACAGG
rnacentral:rRNA from 1 species